GUGCUCGCUUCGGCAGCACAUGUGCUAAAAUUGGAACGAUGCAGAGAAGAUUAGUAUGGCAUGGUCCCUGUGCAAGGAUGACAUGCAAAUUCGUGAAGUGUUCCAUAUUUUU